UAAGACAGAUCCUCAGUCACUUCUUUCUGUCAAGAAGACCAGCUCUCAAGUACUGUCUUCUUUCCCUGAGAUUUUUUUCUUUUUUGAGUAGGAUUUGAGUCUUGAGAGGAUAUUUUGCUCAUUUAUCAUCUGUACCCUUUCUUUCUAAGUCCACGAAAGGAAAGCAUGCAGUGGGCUCUGGCCCUGCUUCUGGCUUUCCUGCUGCCUGGCAGGCAGGUAUCUUCCAACUUGGAAGGGAAAAUGAUGUCAAUCACCGGGAAAACAGGGUCAGCUGUUGUUAUCACUUGUGAUACUGUUCAUCAAAGUGCCAGCUACAUCCACUGGUACCUCCUCCAGGAGGGUAUGGCUCCACGACACCUUCUCUACUAUGAGGUUAGCACUGGCAGAACUGUGGUGGAAUCAGGAAUCAGUCAAGGGAAAUACAUUGCUUAUAAAGCCACAGAUAAGAGUUUUACGUUGGUACUGGUAAAUCUCAAAGCAAGCGACUCUGGAGUGUAUUACUGUGCCAGUUGGGACCAGAAGGAUGAGAAGAACUUUGGCUCCGGCACAAAGCUCAUCGUCACAGAUAAAAACCAGGGUGCAGCUGUCGCCCCCAAGCCCACGAUUUUUCUUCCUUCACUCGCUGAAACAAAUCUCCAUAAGGCUGGGACAUGUCUUUGUCUUCUUGAGAACUUUUUUCCUGAUGUUAUUAAUGUAUAUUGGAAAGAAAAGAAUGGCAGCAGUAUUCUGGCAUCCCAGCAGGGAGAUAUCAGAAAGACUGGUGACACAUACAUGACAGUCAGCUGGCUGACUGUGCCUGAAGAGUCACUGGAUAGAGAGCACCAGUGUGUCGUCAAACACGAGAGUUAUACAGGAGCUGACCGGGAGAUUCUCUUUCCUCCAAUAAAGACAGGAGUGUUGUAUGGGUCACACGGAACAACUCCAAAAACACACACGACAGCACCGAGCUCCCUCGGAUGUGACAUGCUGCGGCUGCAGCUCACAAGCAACUCUGCGUGCUACACUUACCUCCUCCUGCUGGUCAAGAGCGUGGUCUACUCUGCGGCCGCCGCCUUCUGUGUGAUCAGAAGGACAGGCGUCUGCUGCCCGGGGAAGAGCCCCUGACAGACGGUGGCACAGAGGGGUCAUCUUCCCUUCACUGUGUAUUGGCCCCCAAAGCGUCUGCUGAGGAUUCAGCUGGGCUUGCUUUCUGCGUUUGGGCUACUUCAGUUCCCAUAUAAUGUCAGUCUGGUAUUGUCAUUUUUCAAACUUGUGGGAAACAGGAAACUUCAUCCUGUAACCGCAGUGAGCUCCCAGGGCAGCCUUUAGCUCCACUCUCCCCACAGCACCUCUCGACACCAGCACCUCCCGCCAACCCAGGUCAUCGCGGCCUCAGUGUAGACGGCACACAGGCUCCAGCCUCACCCCUUGGUGCCCUGCAACCAGACACCUGCCAGAAAGCCUUCUAUUUACCCUCUCCGAAGCAGCUUUCUUUGAUAUUUGAAUAAUGUGCUUUG